rnacentral:tRNA from 1 species
GCCGAGGUGGUGGAAGUGGUAGACACGUACGUUUGAGGGGCGUAUGGGGAAACCUAUGCGGGUUCAAGUCCCGCCCUCGGCA